UGGCCAGACUCCUACGGGAGGCAGCAGUGGGGAAUAUUGCACAAUGGGGGGAACCCUGAUGCAGCAACGCCGCGUGGGUGAAGAAGUACUUCGGUAUGUAAAGCCCUGUCAGCAGGGAAGAAAAUGACGGUACCUGACCAAGAAGCCCCGGCUAACUACGUGCCAGCAGCCGCGGUAAUACGUAGGGGGCAAGCGUUAUCCGGAUUUACUGGGUGUAAAGGGAGCGUAGACGGCAAUGCAAGCCAGAUGUGAAAGCCCGGGGCUCAACCCCGGGACUGCAUUUGGAACUGUGUGGCUGGAGUGUCGGAGAGGCAGGCGGAAUUCCUAGUGUAGCGGUGAAAUGCGUAGAUAUUAGGAGGAACACCAGUGGCGAAGGCGGCCUGCUGGACGAUGACUGACGUUGAGGCUCGAAAGCGUGGGGAGCAAACAGGAUUAGAUACCCCGGUAUA
rnacentral:rRNA from 1 species